rnacentral:rRNA from 1 species
UACGUAGGGUGCGAGCGUUAAUCGGAAUUACUGGGCGUAAAGCGUGCGCAGGCGGUUAUAUAAGACAGUUGUGAAAUCCCCGGGCUCAACCUGGGGAAUUGCAUCUGUGACUGUAUAGCUAGAGUACGGUAGAGGGGGAUGGAAUUCCGCGUGUAGCAGUGAAAUGCGUAGAUAUCAAGAGGAACACCAGUGGCGAAGGCGAGUCCCUGGACGAAUACCUGACACUGAGGCACGAAAGCCUAGGGGAGCAAACAGG